GACGAACGCUGGCGGCGUGCUUAACACAUGCAAGUCGAACGGAAAGGCCCUGCUUUUGUGGGGUGCUCGAGUGGCGAACGGGUGAGUAACACGUGAGUAACCUGCCCUUGACUUUGGGAUAACUUCAGGUAACUGGGGCUAAUACCGGAUAGGAGCUCCUGCUUCAUGGUGGGGGUUGGAAAGUUUCGGCGGUUGGGGAUGGACUCGCGGCUUAUCAGCUUGUUGGUGGGGUAGUGGCUUACCAAGGCUUUGGCGGGUAGCCGGCCUGAGAGGGUGACCGGCCACAUUGGGACUGAGGUACGGCCCAGACUCGUACGGGAGGGAGCAGUGGGGAAUUUUGCACAAUGGGCGAAAGCCUGAUGCAGCAACGCCGCGUGCGGGAUGACGGCCUUCGGGUUGUAAACCGCUUUCGCCUGUGACGAAGCGUGAGUGACGGUAAUGGGUAAAGAAGCACCGGCUAACUACGUG
rnacentral:rRNA from 1 species